rnacentral:rRNA from 1 species
UACGAAGGGGGGCUAGCGUUGCUCGGAAUUACUGGGCGUAAAGCGCGCGCAGGCGGUCUUCCAAGUCAGUGGUGAAAGCCUGGAGCUCAACUCCAGAACUGCCAUUGAAACUGUUAGACUUGAGUACGAGAGAGGUGAGUGGAAUUCCCAGUGUAGAGGUGAAAUUCGUAGAUAUUGGGAAGAACACCAGUGGCGAAGGCGGCUCACUGGCUCGUAACUGACGCUCAGGCGCGACAGCGUGGGGAUCAAACAGG